GGCUGAAUCGAGUGCCAUAGCGAGAAUUCCUAGAGCCGGCUGUCCCAAGACAGGGUGCAGAGAGCAAGAGAUGCCUGGGUGGCGGCAGCAGGCCUUAGAAGCAGUGGGUAUUGGGCAGGAAACCUGCCAUGCCUCCAGCCGCAAGGCUGAUGCCAGAAACCCACAGCUUGUCCUGUAGCUCCGCAGUGUGCAUCU
ensembl:misc_RNA